CUGUCAUGAUUUGUCCAGUCUGCCCUCCGCUGUCAUUCAGUUGUAGUGGGCGGGGUUUCAGACAUGUGACACACAGUAACUCUGUCCGUUAAAGGGGAUGAGUUCCAAGUAAGGAGCUCUAUCCUAAAGGCAGGGCAAGACAAG